AGCUUAUCUUUGCUCUCUAAAAUAAAGGCAAACUCAAGACAGCGGCAUGUACUUCUGUGCUGCACGUGCAAGGUACUAAAAAUGAGCAUUUUAUCUCACAAAAACUCUCAGAGAUCUCGUUUGUUACACGCAGCUUCCUUGCAAAGAUCACAAUCUAUGAAUUGUAUUCCAACCGCCACGAUGUUAUGCAUCGGUUAGAAUGAAACAGCUCUGUUUCCUGUCAGUUGGGGGCAGUGUGUCUUCAUGCACCACUUCUUUAAGGCAUUCUGGUAGUUUAUAAACUCGAUGAAUCCACAUCAGACCUGUCACUAUUGCUAAAGCGCCCACUAUAUACUCAAAAUGUUCCUGAAUCUGUUCAUAUACAUAAGUUUGAAGUCAUUAGUCUCGGGUGAAAAGGUAGACACGGCUGUUCACCAGAAACCUCGCAAUCUCAUAAUAAAACGCGGAGAAUCUCCUGAAAUUGAGUGCUUCCACAAAAUCCCAGGCUAUGACCGCCUGUUGUGGUACAAACAGUCCCAGAGUAAAGAGUUAACGUUCAUGGGAAAUCUAAUCGGUGACUCUGGGUACCCGGAAAAAGCUUUCGAGAACAAAAUUAAUAUACGUGGAGAUUCAAAUAAGUUUCAUGGCUCUUUGACUCUGAUCAGUUCUACAAAAGAAGACGGUGCUGUUUAUUUCUGUGCAGCCUAUUACACAGUAACGCUAAAUUUGUUCCUCCCAUACAAAAACCUGAGAAUUAUUGUGUAUCGUGUACACCUGUGAUAAACCACUGUUAAUAUAAUGCUCUUUUCCAAAACCUUGGUACUUACAGGCAGCUGCCAUCUGUAGCUUUCUUAGUUUAAUUUAAAUCGAAAUAAAAUUUUGUUUCUUUUGAUUUAUUUGAGAAAAUAAGAAUGUAUGACACUUAUGUAUGACACUUAUUUUCUGAUGUAACCUGUGAUGACCAAAAAUGAUGAUUUACUUCACAUGCAAGUCAAAAUUCUGCUUUGAAUGUAUUCAGUGUUAAUUUCUCUCUUUAUUAUAGAAAGCAAUUCCAUCUAAGGUUCAUCAAUAUGAACAAAAUGGGAGGGACUAAUCUAUUCCAGCAUUAUAAGUCCACUAGAUGUCCUCACAUGCAUCUAUAGCUAUAGAAUUUCUUUACAUGAUUCAUUCCAAACUAAAAUGUUCGGUUUGCUGAUUUUGCUCUCGCUUCUUCCGUUAGAUUUGGGAAUAAAGCAACCACCUGAUCUCUUUGUAAAUGAGGAUCUCAAUGUGACCCUGAAGUGUUCCCAGAUCCAAACGUCGCACAACAGCAUGUACUGGUUCAGAAAAACGCUCACUGAGCAGUUGGAGCAGAUAGUCUAUUUCUUUGUUAAAACAGAAAGCUGGGAGAAGGAUUUUAAGCAGAGAGCAUCGGCUGUGAGGAACGGGGCGUCUUUAGACCUGACUCUUGUGAAAGUACAGAUCUCUGACAGCGGUGUUUAUUACUGUGCAAAACAGGAUGCACAUCAGUGUAAUCUAGUCUAUAACCUCAACAAAAACAUGCAGAUUCACGUCGAACACCUGCUCAUCUGAAAUGCACUACUACAGGGAUGAGUCAAUAAACUAUUUAUAUAUAUUUGUUUCAUAUUAUUACUUGAAACUUUUUAUGUUCAGCAAGGCCUGAAAGGAAAGGGAGAUAACGGUUUUUGGUCUGUUUGGAAACAUGCGUUCAUUUCUGCUUUUCUUUUACAAAGCGUCUGGAUUUCAUCAAUAUGAACAUCUUUUCAGUGAGGUUUUUGGAGAAGGGACUAAUCUGUUCCAGCAUGAUAUUGUGUCCAUUCCACUAGACGUCCUCCAAAGCUGCUGGAUUUCUUUGCAUCACUCAAAAAGCAGAAAAUGUUUGUUUUUGCUCUUGCUUUUUCCAUUAGAAAUCUUGUUAAAGUACAGAGCUCUGACAGUGGGGUUUAUUACUGAGCAAAACAGGCUGCACAUCGGUGAAACUAUAGGUUAUAGGUAUCUAUGUCCUCAACAAAAACAUGAAGAUUUACAUCUAACACCAUGAAAUUCUACAUAUAGAG